UACAGAGGGUGCAAGCGUUAAUCGGAAUUACUGGGCGUAAAGCGUGCGUAGACGGUCAUGUAAGUCGGGUGUGAAAGCCCCGGGCUCAACCUGGGAAUUGCAUUCGAGACUGCAUGGCUAGGGUGCGGAAGAGGGAAGCGGAAUUUCCGGUGUAGCGGUGAAAUGCGUAGAUAUCGGGAAGAACACCCGUGGCGAAGGCGGCUCUCUGGGACGGUACUGACGCUGAGACGCGAAAGCGUGGGGAGCGAACAGG
rnacentral:rRNA from 1 species